UUUAACUAAAACCAACUAGUUUCUCAUCCAUUGUGAUGAUUACAAAUCAUACUUUCUUGUUUUUUUUUUAUUGGGUGAUUUUUUUAUUCAAUCAUGUCGUUUUUUUUUCAUGUUUCAACGUCGAUUCUUGAUGGGUUAUGCUCAUUUUCAAGUGGAGUGACCGAAUUGCUUGAGGCUCAUAAAAGAAAGGUGCAAAGAAUAUAUAGAUUCCGCGUAGGAGGAAGAAAUGCGCAAAGAAUAUAUAGAAGAGAUUUUUGCAACUAGUUUAUGUUUUUCAAUUUAAGAUUGUAUUCUCAAACUCAAGAAGACAGAAGAGAAUGGUAAUGAUUGCAAAUGCACCAGUUAUUCAUGAAGUUAAUUAUUCUACAAAA